CCUACGGGCGGCUGCAGUGGGGAAUAUUGGACAAUGGGCGAAAGCCUGAUCCAGCCAUGCCGCGUGUGUGAAGAAGGCCUUCGGGUUGUAAAGCACUUUCAGUGGGGAAGAAAGCCUUGGGGCUAAUACCCUCGAGGAAGGACAUCACCCACAGAAGAAGCACCGGCUAACUCCGUGCCAGCAGCCGCGGUAAUACGGAGGGUGCGAGCGUUAAUCGGAAUUACUGGGCGUAAAGCGCGCGUAGGCGGUCUGAUAAGCCGGUUGUGAAAGCCCCGGGCUCAACCUGGGAACGGCAUCCGGAACUGGCAGGCUAGAGUGCAGGAGAGGAAGGUAGAAUUCCCGGUGUAGCGGUGAAAUGCGUAGAGAUCGGGAGGAAUACCAGUGGCGAAGGCGGCCUUCUGGACUGACACUGACGCUGAGGUGCGAAAGCGUGGGUAGCAAACAGGAUUAGAUACCCUUGUAGUC
rnacentral:rRNA from 1 species